rnacentral:lncRNA from 1 species
CAUUUCAAGGGACUUUUGUCACAAUGUGGCUGUUUGUAUGUAAACCUUGGUCUCGGAGGAAAAUCCUGCAGUCAGGUUAUUGUUUAAUCUUCAUCGCUGCCUCUCUGGCAGGGUCUGGGGGAAAUGGAAACAAACCACAAGCCUUCAUUAAGCAAACAGCUGUGGACUGGAAGAGAUCAGAAGUGCAGUCUGGAAACCAUGUGUGCUUCUCAUGUUGCAAUAAUUGGGAAAUGAUGAUCAAUAGCAGCUUAUGCGCCCAAGGAAGUCUUGCUGUCACACAAUGCCAUGGGAUGGUUUAAUGUGCGAACCAUUUGCCUGUUGUCCAUAAAUGAAAAUCACAUGUCAACAUGCAAAUAAUUCAGCUGUCUUUGCAUUUUGAAUGGAAAUAGCCUUCUUUAUUUCACGGAUUUUUUUUAUUCAUUUGACGCACCAAGGAUGUUGACUUUUUAUCUCCACAAUAAAUUAAGCUAAACAAGCUUAAUCUGGACUUUU